rnacentral:rRNA from 1 species
GUGAGGAAUUUUCCGCAAUGGGCGAAAGCCUGACGGAGCAAUGCCGCGUGAAGGAUGAAGGCCUAUGGGUUGUAAACUUCUUUCCUUAGAGAAGAAUAUUGACGGUAUCUGAGGAAUAAGCAUCGGCUAACUCUGUGCCAGCAGCCGCGGUAAGACAGAGGAUGCAAGCGUUAUCCGGAAUGAUUGGGCGUAAAGCGUCUGUAGGUGGCUUCAAAAGUCUCCUGUCAAAGAUCAGGGCUUAACCCUGGGCCGGCAGGAGAAACACUGAGGCUAGAGUUUGGUAGGAGCAGAGGGAAUUCCCGGUGGAGCGGUGAAAUGCGGAGAGAUCGGGAGGAACACCAAAGGCGAAAGCACUCUGCUGGGCCACAACUGACACUGAGAGACCAAAGCGAGGGGAGCAAAAGGGAUUAGAUACCCCAGUAGUCC